AGCUGCGUGUUCAGUAACAGCACAUUUUAAAUCUCAAUUGAAUGUAUAAUUAUCUAGAUACAUGGUUUUAAAAUAAUGUGCAUUACUUACGAGAACUGAGCACAAUGAAUGUCUAUAACCCUCUACUAUACUGUGUUCAUAAUUAAUUUAUUAUUUGGUGCUACAAACACAAAUGUUAUUGUGAUACGGUUACUGUUUUUUUGUGAUGCAAAGAAAAGAGUUCUGCUAAUUGUGUUUUUCUCUUGUCUGUUUUAUUUAGUACACUAUGUUGCUCAUGGGUGCAUUGGCAAGGCCCAAGAUCAGCAGGAACAGCAGGAACAGCAGGAACAGCUGGCCAAACGUUCAUUUGAUGCCGACCCUCAGGAUGGUAACCCUAGAUUCAACUAGACUGAGGGCCACUCCAAAGCCAUGUAUUGUUCAACUGCGGCAACCAUUUGAAAAUAUACAUGCUUUGACGUCAUCGAUAAGUAAAUUGUGAAUUCACUUUGAAGAAUGACAGUUCUGAAUAAAUUUGCAUUUAAAAAUUAAAAA